rnacentral:rRNA from 1 species
GACGAACGCUGGCGGCGUGCUUAACACAUGCAAGUCGAACGGAAAGGCCCUGCUUUUGUGGGGUGCUCGAGUGGCGAACGGGUGAGUAACACGUGAGUAACCUGCCCUUGACUUUGGGAUAACUUCAGGAAACUGGGGCUAAUACCGGAUAGGAGCUCCUGCUGCAUGGUGGGGGUUGGAAAGUUUCGGCGGUUGGGGAUGGACUCGCGGCUUAUCAGCUUGUUGGUGGGGUAGUGGCUUACCAAGGCUUUGACGGGUAGCCGGGCUGAGAGGGUGACCGGCCACAUUGGGACUGAGAUACGGCCCAGACUCAUACGGGAGGCAGCAGUGGGGAAUAUUGCACAAUGGGCGGAAGCCUGAUGCAGCAACGCCGCGUGCGGGAUAACGGCCUUCGGGUUGUAAACCGCUUUCGCCUGUGACGAAGCGUGAGUGACGGUAAUGGGUAAAGAAGCACCGGCUAACUACGUG